AUUGAACGCUGGCGGCAGGCCUAACACAUGCAAGUCGAACGAGUGGCGGACGGGUGAGUAAUGUCUGGGAACCUGCCUGAUGGAGGGGGAUAACUACUGGAAACGGUAGCUACUACCGCAUACCAUCAGAUGUGCCCAGGGGGGAUUAGCUAGUUGGUGGGGUAAAGGCUCACCAAGGCGACGAUCCCUAGCUGGUCUGAGAGGAUGACCAGCCACACUGGAACUGAGACACGGCCCAGACUCCUACGGGAGGCAGCAGUGGGGAAUAUUGCACAAUGGGCGCAAGCCUGAUGCAGCCAUGCCGCGUGUAUGAAGAAGGCCUUCGGGUUGUAAAGUACUUUCAGCGGGGAGGCGUUACCCGCAGAAGAAGCACCGGCUAACUCCGUGCCAGCAGCCGCGGUAAUUC
rnacentral:rRNA from 1 species